rnacentral:rRNA from 1 species
UAGGGAAUCUUCCACAAUGGGCGCAAGCCUGAUGGAGCAACACCGCGUGAGUGAAGAAGGGUUUCGGCUCGUAAAACUCUGUUGUUGAAGAAGAACGUGCGUGAGAGUAACUGUUCACGCAGUGACGGUAUUCAACCAGAAAGUCACGGCUAACUACGUGCCAG